GAAACAUCUGAGCAGUACAGAAUUUUAUGUGCGAGCAAAUUCAUUAUCUGUUACUUACUUUUACUUUCCAUCUGUACUUGGUAGUCCUUGGAAUCUCUGCUGUGUAAUCCUCUAAAUAUCUUUGAUAAGGUCCACACUGUUUAGCCACGUUAGCUCUAAUGAGCUAGCUCAGCUUCUUCCAGGUAGUAUCACCACAGAAAUUUCUGGUACGGCACUUCUGGCCAUGGUCCCGCCCCUACCUGGCAGCCAAUGGGAGCCUCCCAAUUUUAAAUUAGCGCUCACGCGCCAAUUCAAGGUCUCCCUUGCAAAAAAAAUAAAUAAAUAACGGUCUCAACCAGUAUCAACAAGGAAAGGAGAAGAAGGAGAAGACAUAUCCUAGCUAAAAUUGAAUUUUCAGCAUUAGAUACCACAAUGCCAUUUGCCAUUUAUUAUUUCAAGGACAAGACUGUGGAAGUUGGGAAGAUUUUAUGGAUGAGUACUGAUGACCAGCAACAAUGUCCAAAAGUAAUCACUCAGUGCCCUGAUUUAGAAGAAGAAGACGGAUGGAUGGAGAUAAAGUGGGACAUAAAAGGCAGAAAAAAGUCAGCUCCAGCCUUUUUCCCAGCAAAGGUUUUGAUGGUUGGUGGUAAGUUGUUAAUUGUAUUGCUUCUCAGUUAGCUUCAUAGCUUCAUCUAUACCCUAUAUGAAAAAGCUAAAGGGGUGUUCACAUUGGCAGUUUUUUAAUUACAGAAAAUAAAUACCUUGGUAUGACACCAGUUGAUUCUAAGUGACAUUUCUUUAUCAUUUCUGGUGUGCAUAAAACUUAACUCCAUAGUUAUAUGAUUUUUGUUUUGAGUUACACAUUUUUGAAUCUAGGUAUGAUCCAUCAGUGGUGCAGCUGACUCUGUAAAUGCAAGUAAAUCAUCAUUACCAUGGAUGUUAUUAUAUUUGCUUGUUAUAAACAUAUAAAACUGAAUUAUAAUUUUAACAGAAGAGAAAGAAGUCAUCGUGUGCUGAAAAAGAGUGAUGAUAGAAGAGCUGAAGAAGCAGCUGGCAAACAAAAUAUCUUCAGAGUCAACUAACUCAAAUGAGGAGUCAUCAGAUGAGGAGCAGCUGCCCAGAAACUGGAGUGGAGCACAGAAGAAAGUGAAAGAGCUUCAGAGAGAUAUCGAGAGCCUGAAAGCAGACUAUGGGAAAGAGAUACUAGAUGCUAUGAGAGAGCUUCCAGCAGUAGUGACAACGCUGAAAGAGAUCUUAGAAAAAAAUCACUGUUCAGAUCUCAACUCCUGCUUCCACCUGGUCAACACCCACACCAGACCAACAAGUUUGACCACCCGCCUCUCCUCAAGUGUUGUCUGACCCUCAUAAUAUGGUGCCUCUAUACGCCAGGUUGUGAUGUAAAAGUCCCAAGACUAAAGCUGAAGUCUCUGCGAACUGCAAGUUCAGCAUUGUACAUUGGGGAUCUUGCGGUGUUCAUCUAUGGUAGACACGCUGUCCAACUCAAGUUUGACCCGGAGGCAGUCGGGGCCCACAAAGAUGUGGAAUCAAAACCACAACUGGAUAACACCAAGCUUGAUGCUAUAUUUGACCAUGCCCAGGUGAAAUCUCCUGACACCCACCAUGCAAGAUGUGAGACGAAUCAUAAGAAAGAAAUGCAACAACAUAAGCUACGCCAACAAGUAGAUGAAAAGAAGUCAUAAAAGUACAGAUUUUGUUUCUGUCUUUUUUAUUUUUGGUUCCAAAGGUGCGCUUUUCUUUGACCUUUUUUGACAAGGAAGGACUUUAUUUCUCAGUUGAAGAUGCUAUGUUUACAUUUUUACAAGCAUAUGCACAAGUUUUGCUUUACCACUUUUUACAAAUAAGGACUUGAUCUUGGAGAGACCAUUAUGUUUACAUUUUUAGAUGCAAAUGUGCACUUUUUCCUUUCAUUUUCUCCAGUAAGGAAGAACUUGAU